CACAGCCACCAUAUCAGGGCAGGCCACCGUAGCUCCCUGACUGACUACAUACUAUGAGGAGUGGAGUCAGGUGUGUGGAGUCAGGUCACCAGCUGCCAGCCAUCAUCAUCAUCCUACUCUGCUUCAAAUACCUGGUACCAACUUCCACACUCUGCCAGAUCGUAGACUUGGUCACCUUGUCAGUCAUGGUCCAGCUCCUUGAAUAUUUUUACCUGUCGAAACUUUUUGUUAGUUCUUGUUUCUAUCUGCCUGUGGCAUUCCUGGCCUGAUUCUGCCCCUGACUCCCUCCUGAUCUACCAGAGCCUGCUCUGGAUCUCCUCAGUUCCCCCGAGCCAUGUGGACUCUUCCUGCCCUGCUUUGUUCUGCCCAUUCUCCUGCUCAGUCCCCUGCACCUGCCUCAGCCUCAGAUCCAUCUGCCAGCAUCUGCCUCCCCCUUGCCACUAAGACUCUGCUGCUCCUUUUUAUCUCAACAUGAGGUUGUAAUAAAACCAAUAAUCUGAUUCCAA